rnacentral:rRNA from 1 species
UACGUAGGGUGCGAGCGUUGUCCGGAAUUACUGGGCGUAAAGAGCUCGUAGGUGGUUUGUCGCGUUGUUCGUGAAAACUCACAGCUCAACUGUGGGCGUGCGGGCGAUACGGGCAGACUGGAGUACUGCAGGGGAGACUGGAAUUCCUGGUGUAGCGGUGAAAUGCGCAGAUAUCAGGAGGAACACCGGUGGCGAAGGCGGGUCUCUGGGCCGAUACUGACGUGGAGGAGCGAAAGCGUGGGGAGCAAACAGG